UUCUGCUCAAUUAAUUAUGGAUCGAUUAGAUAGCCAUAAAAAUAGAAGUUCACCUUCCACAUACGAACUUUACUUAUUUUUGUUGGAAGUUCACUUGGUCCCCUGAAUUUGGGUUAAAAGUAGGCAACAGAAUAAUUGCGAAGUUCGCUUAUAUUUUACGGCAAAGUUCGGCUCGUCGAGUUCGGAGUGUAGGUUUUCUUUUGAAUGCCCUGGGACGUUCACUUUGAAUGAGCUGGUAGUUCACCUUGUCUUCCUGGUCAGUCAAGAAGUUUGAUUUGUCUAUGCUUGAAGUUUGCUUCUUUUUUCGCGGUAGUCUGCCUCAUCAAUUAUUUUACUGCAAGCUCACAUCGUACUUGUGUGGAAGUCCACCUUUUGAAUCUAUGAGAAGUUCAGUUUUAUAGAACAGACUGUCGUUACUCUAUUGCUUCUCUGUCCGUGUGUAUAAUUUUUCACUCCUUCUCUUAUCUUGCUGUACUACCAGUACUUACGUUUUUAUUUCUUUCUUCUAUCUUGCGAGAAGCAUUUGAUCAAAUAAUCAUGUAGCCAGGUUGGAGGUAGAAGGGAACAUGAGCUGGCGGUGUUCCCCUUUAUUCAGCCUGCUAGACAGAGAAACAAAGCUGCAGCCGUUGCUCCUGGUACUUGGUCUCGCCAACGACCUCACAACUAGCCCCGCGGGGUUCCGGAGCACCAGGCUGUUCUGUGUUUGUUGUCCGGCCGGUAGUUUCGUGAGACGUUCAGAUAUAGGAACCCAAUCUCCAAAAAAGGUAAUUAAGACCCAGGUCAGCCUACUCAUCUUGAUAAUAACCUACUUAAAUGUGAGCAGUUCAAUUAGGCCAAAUAGGGAGUUCACAUUCCUGUUAAAAAUAUAUAGAAGAAAAAUGCCCUCAGCACACUUGUUAGUUUAUUUGGUGGUGGAGAAGUUUAGAUAUUCUUCGGAGGAAGUUUAAUCUAUGUUUUUGAAAAGUACAGUAUGCUUUUAUUUAAUUUUGGUUUGAUUUGUGU